rnacentral:rRNA from 1 species
GACGAACGCUGGCGGCGUGCUUAACACAUGCAAGUCGAGCGGAGCGGCGAACGGGUGAGUAACGCGUGAGUAACUGCCCCCCUCUCUGGGAUAACAGUUGGACACGGCUGCUAAUACAGGACAGUGGGGGAUGACUCGCGUCCUAUAAGCUUGUUGGUGGGGUAGUGGCCUACCAAGGCGACGACGGGGAGCCGGCCGGAGAGGGCGACCGGCCACAUUGGGCUGAGAUACGGCCCAAACUCCGACGGGAGGCAGCAGUGGGGAAUAUUGCACAAUGUGGGAAACCCUGAUGCAGCAACGCGCGGGCGGGAUGACGGCCUUCGUGGUGUAAGCCGCUUUCAGCCAUGACGCGGUAGUGGCAGCAGAAGCACCGGCUAACUACGUUCCAGCAGCCGCGGUAAUAC